UGGGGAAUAUUGCCCAAUGGGGGAAAAGCUGAUGCAGCCAUGCCGCGUGUAUGAAGAAGGCCUUCGGGUUGUAAAGUACUUUCAGUUGUGAGGAAGGCGUUGGAGUUAAUAGCUUCAGCGCUUGACGUUAGCAACAGAAGAAGCACCGGCUAACUCCGUGC
rnacentral:rRNA from 1 species